AUUGAACGCUGGCGGCAGGCCUAACACAUGCAAGUCGAACGAGUGGCGGACGGGUGAGUAAUGUCUGGGAAACUGCCUGAUGGAGGGGGAUAACUACUGGAAACGGUAGCUAAUACCGCAUACCAUCGGAUGUGCCCAGAUGGGAUUAGAGAGUAGGUGGGGUAAAGGCUCACCUAGGCGACGAUCCCUAGCUGGUCUGAGAGGAUGACCGGCAAAGCUGGAAUUGAGACACGGUCCAGACUCCGACGGGAGGCAGCAGUGGGGAAUAUUGCAAAAUGGGCGCAAGCCGGAUGGAGCCAUGCCGCGUGUGUGAAGAAGGCCUUCGGGUUGUAAAGUACUUUCAGCGGGGAGGCGUUACCCGCAGAAGAAGCACCGGCUAACUCCGUGCCAGCAGCGGCGGUAAUAC
rnacentral:rRNA from 1 species